GGACUAGUAUAAGGUAUAUACUAAAUUACUAAUAUACCAUACGAAAAGUUGGGUCGGAUUACAAUGAAAAAACAUUAAAUUAUAUGCAGAAAAUGGAUUUUGGAUAACAUGCCAAAGCCGAGAGUUUCUCAUUGGUUUGCGCUGAAUCUUCCUCUUCCCUCAAGUUCUCUUACUUGAACCUCCGCCGUUUUGUUUGAACUAAACAUAUCUUUUUCGCUUCUUAUUAAAAUAGUAUACACAUGAAAGCCGAAGAUACGUCUUGUCAUUAACCACCCUUGUUUUUUUACUCAAAGAUUUUAGGUUUUCUAUAACCUCGUCUAGUAGAAAAUAAAAACCAAAGCGAUAAAAAGCGAAGAACAAAACAAUGGUCUACUAACGGUGUUUUAACGUUCAAUGAUUCCAACUAUGAAUCGAACUCUUAUCUUAUCUUAGUACUAAAAAAAAAAAAAAAAACUCUUAUCUUAUAGCUAUGCAGAUCUCGAUUUGAAGUUACAGAAAAAAACAAAAAUAAAUGUAGAUGGUUGGUUUAAAUACCGGACGUGAAAAACAAAAGAAAAAUACCGGACGUGAUCAUUUUACAUGCAACAUAUUAUAAAAAAAACUCUCUUUUGGUUAUUACUUUUUAGUUUUAUCAAUAAAGUUUAAUCAUUUAUAAUUUUACGUUUUAUUUUAUAUUUUAGUUUCAAAAAUAAAUACAUUAAUUAUAUUCUAAAAUAUCAAUCUUCUGUAUACCAAAAAAGCUAGAACAUCAAUGUUUUAUUUACGAAGGGAGUAUGAUUUUAAUUAGUGUAAAUGUAUAUAAAUCAUCUUAUCUAUUAAAAGAGAAGUCACAACUUCUUUUCAUGUGUGAUUUUUUAAAAAUUGGACUUAUUGGACCUAUUACUAGAAUGUCAUAUAACAUAACCACAUACCCUUCCAAUCUUUUAAUGAAAUUAUCUUGACUCGCGUAAUAAUGGGGAGAUCCACCUACCGUUCGUUUUAUAGUAGAUCUAAAUAUAUAGAAGCAAAAUAUCUCAAAAUUAUCUUGACUCGCGUAAUAAUGGGGAGAUCCACCUACUGUUCGUUUUAUAGUAGAUCCACCUGCAAAUAUAUAGAAGCAAAAUAUCUCAAUAGAUACGGUUUUUCUAGAUUUCUUGCUUGGAUUCAUCUUGGUUAGCUGGGCUUAUCAUUCCUCACGAUCUUCCUCACAAUAUAAUUCCUUGGCUUUCCUUGGAGCCUGUUUGUAAUUUAAAACUGUUAAGAGAAUAAAUUUUGAAGUCAAUCAUUGAACUUUGUAACUAAUUUAUAGAUGAUACAGAACUUACCUAUACUGUUUGAGACGCCUAACCCAUGUACGAGCUCUGAUUCUUGAUCUCAAGAUCAUUUAACAGCUCCUCUGCAGAGAUCUUCCAUAUCAGUCAUCUUCAAGCUGAUUCUCUGCAGAGAUUACAAAAACAGAGCUUAA
rnacentral:lncRNA from 1 species